UUCCAUGGAAUUGUGUCCAGCAACCAUGCUUAAGGACCAGGACCAGUGUCAUAGCUUCUUAGUGAUACAAAGUAAUCGUUACUGAGAUUUACCCAUCAUAAAUAGACCAUUAGGUAGAGAGCUCAGUGAAGGUGAAAAAGGGAACACAAUAUUGAGAAGAGAUGUUGAAGAAUCAAAUGAAUAACUAAAAUGAAGAAGGACUGAAUUAAUGUGUGGAGAAAAAAAGAUGGGCAAAAAGUGAGAAAGAAGAAACAAAGGAAGCAACUGACAGUGAAAGGAAAAUAAGUUCAGGAAAACAACUACUGCUUCUCAGUUCCAAACUGAUCAGAAAAAAGUAAUGUAUGGUAAUAGUAGAAAAUGGAUGGAAGUGAAAAGAGCAUGAAAAAGAACAAAGAUUUUUUUUUUUUUUCUCAGCUGGCUUUUGUUCACUAGAAUAUGUUGUUUUCUUCUCUAUUGGCUUGAAUGAUUUGACCCCCCU
rnacentral:lncRNA from 1 species